AUCUGCACAGGUGCUGCAUGGCUGUCGUCAGCUCGUGCCGUGAGGUGUUCGGGUUAAGUUCCGCAACGAGCGCAACCCCUGUGAUUAGUUGCCAUCCCGCAAGGGGGGCCCUCUAGUCAGACUGCCUGUGAUAAGCAGGAGGAAGGUGGGGAUGACGUCAAGUCAGUAUGGCCUUUAUGCCCAGGGCUGCACACGUGCUACAAUGAACGGUACAAAAGGAUGCCAAGCCGCGAGGCAGCGCAAAUCCCCAAAACCGUUCUCAGUUCGGAUUGGAGUCUGCAACUCGACUCCAUGAAGCUGGAAUCGCUAGUAACGGCGCAUCAGCUACGGCGCCGUGAAUACGUUCCCGGGGAUU
rnacentral:rRNA from 1 species